rnacentral:rRNA from 1 species
GAUGAACGCUAGCGGGAGGCUUAACACAUGCAAGUCGAGGGGCAGCAUAGGGUAGCAAUACUCUGAUGGCGACCGGCAAACGGGUGAGUAACGCGUAUGCAACCUACCCUGUACAGGGGGAUAACCUGGAGAAAUUCGGACUAAUAUCCCGUAAUAAUAUCCGGAGGCAUCUUUGGAUAUUUAAAGUUCCGACGGUACGGGAUGGGCAUGCGUAACAUUAGCUGGUUGGUAAGGUAACGGCUUACCAAGGCUAUGAUGUUUAGGGGUCCUGAGAGGGUGGUCCCCCACACUGGUACUGAGACACGGACCAGACUCCUACGGGAGGCAGCAGUGAGGAAUAUUGGUCAAUGGGCGCAAGCCUGAACCAGCCAUCCCGCGUGCAGGAAGACGGCCCUAUGGGUUGUAAACUGCUUUUCCAGGGAGAGAAACUUACGCACGUGUUGCGUGACUGACGGUACCCUGGGAAUAAGCAUCGGCUAACUCCGUG